AACGCACCCGAUGGGAGCGGGAGGGGCGACAUUGUCGCCCGCCUCCCGCCUCCUCGGGGCACCCUGGCUGCCCCCGCCUUGCCUUGCUGCGGGCGGGGGCAGCGAACAAAACCCGGGCGCGGUGGGCGCCAAGGAACAGUGCUUCUGGAGAGCAGCGUGCGCCUGACCGCUGAGGCGGGAAAGGCGCACGACGCGAUCCUGCAAUAUCGUUAACUUUUACGACUCUCGGCAACGGAUAUCUUGGCUCUCGCAUCGAUGAAGAACGUAGCGAAAUGCGAUACUUGGUGUGAAUUGCAGAAUCCCGUGAACCAUCGAGUCUUUGAACGCAAGUUGCGCCCGAGGCUAUCCGGCCGAGGGCACGCCUGCCUGGGCGUCACGCCUAGCGUCGCUCCGCGCACCCUGUGGGCGUGGACGCGGAUAUUGGCCCCCCGUGCCUUGCGGUGCGGCGGGUCGAAGUGCGGGCCGCCGGCCGGGUCGGACGCGGCGAGUGGUGGACGGACACGCUCGACGCUGAACGCCGCGAACCUAGCCCCGGCCGUAGCGGCUCAUGCAAGGAACCCAUGCCGACCGGGCGCUCUCGUGAGCGCUCUCGGACCACGACCCCAGGUCAGGCGGGGCCACCCGCUGAGUUUAAGCAUAUCAAUAA
rnacentral:rRNA from 1 species